rnacentral:sRNA from 2 species
CGCCGGAUGCCGCCGAAUCGCACCUGCGAGCCGGGGACCCACCGCACUGUGGGGUGAAUCCCGCCGCCGAGCUCCGCUCGGGGGUGGGUAGGGCUCUCCCCGCCCGAACCCGUCAGCUGACCUGGUAGGCGGCCAUGGGAGAACGG